GUUGAUAGAACAAUGUAGAUAAGGGAAGUCGGCAAAAUGGAUCCGUAACUUCGGGAUAAGGAUUGGCUCUAAGGGUCGGGCUCGCUGGGCCUUGGGGGGAACCCCCUGGAGCAGGAGGGCACUAGCCGGGCAACCGGCCGGCGCCCCCCAGCACCGGGGUGGGGACGCCCUUGGCAGGCUUCGGCCGUCCGGCGGGCGCUUAACGACCAACUUAGAACUGGUACGGACAAGGGGAAUCUGACUGUCA
rnacentral:rRNA from 1 species